AUGUGUGUUCCAAAGAAGAAGGGUGGCAUGGGGUUUAGGGACCUUCAUUUUAAUCUUGCUAUGUUAGCAAAGCAGUGUUGGCAACUACUCCAAAAUCCCAAUUCUCUGUGUGCACGUGUUUUGAGUGCUAAGUAUUAGCCAAACGGAGACAUGCUGAAUGCAUGGCCUAAAAAGGGAUCAUCGUUCACAUGACAAAGCAUUAUUGCAAGUAUACAAACCUUCAAGAGAGGGUGUAUUUGGCGGGUUGGAUAUGGUUCGGACAUUAAUAUCUGGGAUGAUCCUUGGAUUCCCUCUAGUGAGUCAGGAAGAAUCAUCACACCCAAGGGAGGAACUAUGCCAACAAAGGUUGAAUAAUUAAUUAACCGACACAUGGGCUAGUGGGAUGUUGAGCUCCUCUAGGACAUUUUAUUACUCAUGGAUGUUACUAGAAUUGUACAAAUUCCUUUGCAUGUUGAAGUUGUAGAUGAUUUUGUUGCUUGGCAGUUUACCAGGUCUGGUACCUUUUCGGUGCGCUCAGCUUAUCGCAUUGAGUUUGACCACCAGUUCGGUCGUCACUAUGGCCGAAUGGAUGCCCCAGGUGGUUCUCAGAUUAACCUAGUGUGGAAAGAACUGUGGCGUCUUCACGUCCCUGGGAAAAUCAAGCACUUUGGAUGGAAGGUUCUGAAGGGGGUCUUGCCAUGCUUCGGUGUUCUACCAGGAAGACAUAUUCCUGUAACCCCACAAUGCCUGUUUUUUAAAGUUGGUUUGGAGGAUAUACAACACUGCAUUUUCACAUGUUCUAGGGCUACGGAAGUUUGGGAUGAACUUUAGCUAGCAGAUACUGUACGGAAGGCAGUACUACAAGCCCGCUCGGGGUCCAUCACUCUGGAGAUCCUCCUACUAUCCGAUUUUAUGAUACAAGAAAUCCUGGCAGCGGAACUUAUACUAGUGACAAUGUGGUACAUCUGGUGGUAG
rnacentral:rRNA from 1 species